AAGUCGUAACAAGGUUUCCGUAGGUGAAUCCUGCGGGAGGAUCAUUAAUGAAGUCUGGGCUUCGGCCCUCUCAUCUUCUACACACUUGUGAACUUACACCGUUGCUUUGGCAGGUCUCCGGACGGGCGUCAGCCUCGAAGGUCAGGUCGAAAGGCGCCUGCCAUUGACACUUAUCCACCCUUUUUUAAUAGUCUGAUUAUUGUUUUAAACAAAUUAAAAUAAAA
rnacentral:misc_RNA from 1 species